AGGCUGAAGGAGCGACGCCGCGUGUAUGAUGAAGCCCUUCGGGGUGUAAAACUCUUUUCUAGAGGAAAAAGCCUUGUGUUUACACAAGGUUGAUGGUACUCUAGGAAUAAGCCACUGCUAACCUCGUGCCAGCAGCAGCGGUAAGACGAGGGUGGCAAGCGUUAUCCGGAUUUACUGGGCGUAAAGAGUGUGUAGGCGGUCUAAAAAGUUCUCGGUUAAAGCCCUUUGCUCAACAUAGGGAUUGCUGGGGAAACUAUUAGACUAGAGGCCGGAAGAGGCAAGCGGAAUUGCCGGUGGAGCGGUAAAAUGUGUUGAUAUCGGCAAGAACACCAAAAGCGAAGGCAGCUUGCUAGGACGGUUCUGACGCUGAGACACGAAAGCGUGGGGAGCGACAAGGAUUAGAUACCCUUUUAGUCCACGCCCUAAACAAUGGAUGCUGGGUACUGGAAGUGUCGACCCUUCCAGUGUCGCAAAAAAAAGCUAACGCGUUAAGCAUCCCGCCUGGGAACUACGGCCGCAAGGCUAAAACUCAAAGGAAUAGACGGGGAUUCGCACAAGCGGUGGAUCAUGUGGUUUAAUUCGAUAAUAAACGAGGAACCUUACCAGGGCUUGAAAUGUUAGAUGAAGCUGUUAGAAAUAAUAGCCGGUCCCUUCACGGGAAAGUCUAACACAGGUGCUGCAUGGUUGUCGUCAGCUCGUGCCUUGAGGUUUACCCUUAAGUGGGAUAACGAGCGCAACCCUUAUCUUUAGUUGUUCCGCUUUAAAACGGAAGAAAUCUAAAGAGACUGCCGGUGGUGAACCGGAGGAAGGAGAGGAUGACGUCAAAUCAGCACGGCUCUUACGUCCUGGGCGACACACAUGAUACAAUGGCCGGUACAAAGGGUCGCUAAGCCGUA
rnacentral:rRNA from 1 species